AGACAGGACAAGGGUUGUUUGUCAAACACACGUUUUUGCUUUCCCCCCAACGAGGACGUGUUCCUGACGCACGGCGUUCGUUUUCUGAGGAGACUCUGAGUGAUGGAAGAUCAACAAUAUCAGCAGUCUUCAUCUCAUUGCCUAUCUGAGGCAUCCUCAGUACAAAAUCAAAAAUACAUCAAGAAAAUGGGAAGAGGAACAAGAAAAAGGAAACAAAAGUAUGAAUUCUGUAAGAAAAAAAGAUGCGUAUUUUACAAAAAGUUUAAAUUGAUUAGAAAAUAUGUAAUCUUGAAACGUACAUCCUAUAAAAAACAAUCGUUCAGAAGUUCUUGUUGGAAGUGUAUAAACUGGAGCCUUUCUUGAAGCGAUUGUAGUAUUCUUAAUUAAAUUGUGUCUCUAACACAGUAAUAUCAAUUAGCUCUUUAGAAACCACAUUAUUCAUUUAUCAAGGAGACAACUUGACAUUACGCUGAAGGCAAUAAAAUAUAUCAGCCUGUAACAUGCACUGCUAGAGGGAACAGGCUUCAUUCAGAAUUACAUGGGCAGUGAAUCUCCACUAACUUCUGCAGAGCUGCACUGCUUCACCCAGCUCAGGGAAUUGCCUUAAUGGCACUAUAAACUUCCUUCAGAAGGUAUUCAGUUGCUUGUUUUCUUUACAUAGCCAUGAAGAAAAUCAUACUGUCAUUGGAAUUGCUCUGUUGUGUAUGGGGUUGUGAGUUCUUUGCUCUAAAUAUGCUUUCUAAUGUGAGGGGAGAGAUGGGCAAAAAUCAGUUUGAGGGGAGAAUGACAACUGAAAUCGAUAAAAAGCAUAACUUCUGCAUUGAAAGGAACUUUAGCUACUAAUAAUGAAGUUUCCAGACAAACCAGAAAAGAGGAGGAUUGGGAAGUACCUCUGGAAGCUAUUUCUGAACAGCAGACAGAUGGUUGGGACGGUUACUUGUGCAUUAAGAAAGGAAUAACAGACAACUCGUUGAUCUGCUUAUGGCAGGGAACUGGGAAGGAAAAAGCACAAGCCCUCUGGAGAAGAGGAAUACAAACAAAAAGUGGACAGGGAAGAAGGACAGGCUUUCCUCACUGCCGUAAAAAGACAAUUUCUUCAGCAGGACCCCACAGACACCUUAUUGUUUUGCAAAGGCAUGAUCUGUAUUUACAUGCGUGUUUGGGGCUCCCAAAACGAGCUCCAAAUCGGAUCGGCAUUUGCCUGACACAACUUGCUGACGUCGACGGAUUCCUUUUCAGUCGUGCAGAUAAAGUAAAACGUACAGCUCCACCUGCUGGAGGAGCCUCCUCCAUGGAUCAUCACGACGUAAUUUCCUACAAAUACACUUAGGGUGGGUCCGGAGUUGGUACGCUGAAAGGUACUGGGGAAUUUCAUUUAGCUUGCCGUUCACGCAAGCCUGCCUGCUUUGCUCCUGUGCACAGUUAUGGAGUUUGUCCUCUGCACUAAGUCACUAUCAGCAAACAACAACCAAGCAAUAAAUAAAUAAACCGAUGAAAAGAUAGAACAGUUAGAUGUUCAGAAAACAGGAAAAUGUCGUUUAUUUACAGCUUGACACAAUAACAAAGAUCCACUUCACAAGAAGCCUGGAGGAAACCAGUCAUCUUCCCCAAGCACCGUAUUCAGGCUGCCCUAUGGCUCAUUUCUGCAGCUGAGUCUUUGCCAUGGCAGCAUCUCGGCCACAUUGCUCCCUGUUCACUCCCUCUAGCAAGUCAGUAAGGAUCAUCCCAUGCCACAAGGGCCAGGUAGCGAGAGCUGCUCCUUACAAGUCCAUAAACUCUUCCAAAUUUCAUUGAAAGAAGAAGGCAUGCGGACAGAAGCUACGUCGAUAAUGAGACAAUUAGAAACACACAAAAUAUUCCCAUAGGAGCAUGAAGACCAUUGCAAAAAAAGUCAGCCAGAAAUUUAAAAUGCAACUUUGUGUUGAUAAAAAAUUCCUCCUGGGAAAAAACGUUUUUCUCCACAAGGAAUCAGCUACGUGGCAAGACUAUUCCCAUUGUUUUACAGACAUGGGAAAUGAAAUAGAAUGAAGUUAUAGUAGUUAAGAGCACAGAUCUAGGAGGAAGACACUCGUAGUCCAACUGUCAAAGCAACAGUACUGAGAAAAGACAAAGGUUUUCAAGGAGGAGUAUUAUUUUGCAAAGCACUUAGCAACUGUGGUUUCUGAAUGAUAGUAUUGAUAAAGAUGCACACCAUAACUAAAUAUAAACUUCUUCUCCUACUGUAAAUGUGGAGAUGAUCACAAUGUGGUGUAAAAUUUCAAUAUGGACAUAACAACAUCUCAGAUAAUAAGGUGAACUGCAUAAUCAGCUCCUGUAUUCGAAAAUAUACAUCUAAGCUCUCUCAUUUUGUAGUUAAGUCCCAAAAUAUCACUUAUCACCCAACAGGAUCGGGAGGCAAUACAGAUGUGAAAGACCUCUUGUCUAGUGCAAAGGCAAUCAGUAGCCUAACACAGAGCUCUGCAAUGGGAAUUUCUGCAGUAUGCCAAAGAGAAGGAGAGGAAAAGAGGAAACAGACCUACUAAGCUGUAACUUAUAACUACAUAAACCAAAUGUUCAUCACCAGAAAAGUCUGAUCAAAUCCAGGAAAAAUAAUUUCACAAAUGGCAAAGCUCCAAAACAGUGAUUCUGAUGCCUUACAUAAGGCUCAGGGAAUGUUUUCUCACAUUUGGAAUGUAUCCAAGUGUGAGAUCCAUGAUCAAUAUAGGACACAAAAUGAAAAAAUAAACCAGACACCAAAAAAAUAAAAAAAUAAAAAAAAAAUCAUGAUUGCAUUUUAAUUCCACAUUUAUUAGACAGCAGCCAGGGUGAAGAGCGAUGACUGUGUAUACUUUCAAUUAACUGCACGUUAAGUAUACAGUUUCCAUCCUUGAUAGUAUCCAUGUUUCCCUUACCAGUUAGGGGUUCCUUCCUUUGCAGUUUCUUUCUAUUCUCUGAAGCCUUGAAAGAAUGAGAUUUCAUAAAAUGAAAUGUACUUGUUAAAGAGUAUUGCUGAUCUUUUUAUUCAAGAGCUUAAUGUAGCUAUAUGUGCUCUUGAGGCAUUUAGCAACUUCAGGAAGUACCAUCAGCAAUUAGAAGAAGAAUUUAGAAUUAGAUGGGAUAAAAGCUUAUAGUGUUCUUUCUGAAAUUACUUGAGUGAAGUACUGGCUGUAUGAUUUCCUGAAGGCCUGACACUCACUGAUUCAAACAAUCCAGUUAGGAAAAGUCAAGUGGAUUGUCUAAAAUAGCUUUGAAUUAAUUUUCCCACUGCCCUAUCAUUUAGAAAUUAUUACCAGUCAGUUUCCUAACUAGUGACAGACAUAAGGAACAAAUCUUGGAUCCAAAAAUUAAUUUUCCUCAAAAUCUGGCAAACAUUCAGGUUUGAUUUUCUUAUUUGCCUGCCGACUCUGAAAAUGAGAUACAAAAGUAGACACUUUAACAUUAGUUAAUGUCUAUUUUGCUGUCAUUUAGAAAUAGAAGUAGAGUGCUCCAACACUAAGGUUUCAACUGAAGUUAUAUUCAAUACCCUGCCCAGUGUUAAGCAUGCAAGAAGUCUCAUUGAUUUUAAUAGGACUGCAGGCUUCCUCAUGCUGACUUCAUUUAAUAUAGAAGUAGUAUCUCUUUUGUCUCCUAGCAAGAAAGAGAACAGAGGAAAGCGGAUGGUCUGGGCAAACUCAAAACAGAGACAACAGAUUUUUCUGAUGUGGAGUAAGUCAAGCAGGCAAGGCAGGAGGCUCUUUUGGCAAAUAUCACUCCCAUUUCAUGAAGAAGGAUCUGGGAAGCUACAGGCCAGACAGUCUCACCUCAGUCCCUGAGAAGUUUAUGGAGUAAAUCUUCCUGAACAUCAUUUCUGAACACACAAAGGAAAUAUAGGGGAUGACUGGUUCAGUAUACAAGAGGACAGAAGUGGAUGCCACUCACUUUGACUUCAGUAAUUUUUUUUUAAUUUUCUUUUUUUCAUUUUUUUUUUAAUUUUCUUUUUUUCUGUCCAUAGUUUCACAGGACAUUUUUUCAUCCUGCCUGGGAAGGUAUGGCUUGUGUGGGUAGAACCCUAUCUGGACUGCCAGCCUCAAAGAGCUCAAAAUCCAAAGGGCAGCCAGUUGCUAGCAAUGUUGUGUUUGCAAGUGUUGAUCAGUAUCAGUAGGUAUUGUUUGAUACCUGCAUUAACAAACAGGACACAACCAAUAACUGCCUGUUACCAAUACGCUACAGACAACAGGACACGGUGUUCCCCAGAGGAUCUCUAGCCUGCAUGCUGUUUGGUGCUAUAGACUUAUGUCACUAGAAAGCAUGUACAAUAACUAGAUAAACUGUGUUGCAGUUUUUGCCCUCUGCACCUUGUCCUUUCACUGAACAUCACUGAAAAGAGUCUGAUCUCAUCCACUUGACUCCACACUUUGAGUAUUUAUAAACAGUGAUUAUACCACCUCUCAGUCUUCUCCAGGUUGAAGACUCCUAUCAUCCCAUUUCUUUAAAUGUUAAUAUAAGUGUUAGGAAUUAAAUCUCUCUG